rnacentral:rRNA from 1 species
GAUGAACGCUGGCGGCGUGCCUAAUACAUGCAAGUCGAGCGAACAGAUAAGGAGCUUGCUCCUUUGACGUUAGCGGCGGACGGGUGAGUAACACGUGGGUAACCUACCUAUAAGACUGGGAUAACUUCGGGAAACCGGAGCUAAUACCGGAUAACAUUUGGAACCGCAUGGUUCUAAAGUGAAAGAUGGUUUUGCUAUCACUUAUAGAUGGACCCGCGCCGUAUUAGCUAGUUGGUAAGGUAACGGCUUACCAAGGCGACGAUACGUAGCCGACCUGAGAGGGUGAUCGGCCACACUGGAACUGAGACACGGUCCAGACUCCUACGGGAGGCAGCAGUAGGGAAUCUUCCGCAAUAGGCGAAAGCCUGACGGAGCAACGCCGCGUGAGUGAUGAAGGGUUUCGGCUCGUAAAACUCUGUUAUUAGGGAAGAACAAAUGCGUAAGUAACUGUGCACGUCUUGACGGUACCUAAUCAGAAAGCCACGGCUAACUACGUG